CUUCUCGCACGUACGUCUCAUAUGCAUCUUCUUUUUUCCUGACUGAAUUAGAGUGGUUUGCUCUUUUGGGACGUUUUAGGCUUCUUAUUGCAGGUGAUUCAUGUUCUGUUCAUGGUUUUUGGAUUAUGCGAUUAGUUUUACUUGAUGGGCUGGUGAAUUACCUGAAUUGAAUAUCCAGGAGUGAUUGAACUCGAACUCAUGAGUUCUUGAAAACCUGUGUAUAACUAAGGCCAUACCCAUGGUGAUAGUGUUGUGUGCAUACAUGUAUGUAUGUCCCUGAAAUUUAUGAGAAGGUGGAAGGUGGAUUAUUAUCGAACUGUCCCCAUAGACGUUUUCUUGUGGAAAAUUCUGUGAAUUAGCUUUCAGGAAUAGUAAUCCGAAAUUAUCAACUUUGGAUUCAUACCUUUUAGAAGUUUGGUAUUCAUGUUUGUGUAUAUGUAUAUAUGCAUAUAUCAGAUCUCACCUGCCAAAGUUUCCUUGCAGGAGAUUUUGAUGAAUGUGUGUGGAUUGGUUAGGAUCAUUGAAUUCUGAUAGUUCUUAACACUGCAACUCUUAGGUCUUCUUGAUUGGCUUGAAACUUAGUUCGAAUCUGCCUCUGUUUUUUUCUUCUUCUGAAUUUGCUUGACUGAUUAGGAUAGUCAGUUUCAUUAGUAAAUUGAUUGGAUCUUUCCUCCAUGCAUCUUUUGCGUUCUUGCUGUUGGGUAUAUCCAAUGUUCUUCUUUUAUAGAUUUCCGAUAAUAUGUCAUAGUAUUCCUUCCGUUUCACAAAGUGCUUUUUGAGUUCAUGUGGUGGGGAAUGUCGAGGGGAAUAGAGCAGCUUAUGGUGGGGAGAGUGGUUGGAGAUGUAAUAGAGAGGUUCAGCCCAAGCGUGGCGAUGAGAGUCACUUAUAACCUCGACAAGCAUGUCGCCAAUGGCCACGAGCUCAUGCCUUCCUCCCUUACCCAUAAGCCUCGCGUCGAGAUUGGCGGAGACGAUAUGUGAUCUUUUUAUACUUUAAUAAUGGUAGACCCCGAUGCUCUGAGCCUUAGUGAUCCAUAUCUACGAGAAUACCUGCAUUGUGCUUUUUCGGGGGAGGAGGAGGAGAGGAGUAGUAAUAGUUGGCGGAGGCAAAGUCUAGAGAGAUUGUAAAGACAAGCAAAGAUGCUAAGAGAGAAGCCAUUGAUGGAGAACCCAUCUUUUCCACAAGAGACAGGUUUUGGGUUUUGUGCUCUUUCUUUGUUCCCUUCACAUCCUUUAUAUAGAUUCUUGGAUUUAUCCUUUUCCCACUUUGAUCCCUCGUGGUAAAAAUUGCAAUUUUUUAUUUUACAUUUUUUAUUUUACA